rnacentral:rRNA from 1 species
CUGGCGGCGUGCUUAACACAUGCAAGUCGAACGGAAAGGCCCUUUCGGGGGUACUCGAGUGGCGAACGGGUGAGUAACACGUGGGUGAUCUGCCCUGCACUUUGGGAUAAGCCUGGGAAACUGGGUCUAAUACCGGAUAGGACUACGCACUGCAUGGUGUGUGGUGGAAAGCUUUUGCGGUGUGGGAUGGGCCCGCGGCCUAUCAGCUUGUUGGUGGGGUGAUGGCCUACCAAGGCGACGACGGGUAGCCGGCCUGAGAGGGUGUCCGGCCACACUGGGACUGAGAUACGGCCCAGACUCCUACGGGAGGCAGCAGUGGGGAAUAUUGCACAAUGGGCGCAAGCCUGAUGCAGCGACGCCGCGUGGGGGAUGACGGCCUUCGGGUUGUAAACCUCUUUCAGUAUCGGCGAAGCUCCCGCAUUUUUGUGGGGGUGACGGUAGGUACAGAAGAAGCACCGGCCAACUACGUGCCAGCAGCCGCGGUAAUAC